UGAGAUCAGUGAUUUUAAUGGGAGGUGCUUUCUGUGGAGCAACGCCUUUAACUUCCCACCUCCCUUUAUAAAAAACAGCCUCAGUCAUUCAGCAUGUCUACUGUGGCUGGAUCUCAUAUUAAGAAGAUCACUAUGAUGACUCAAAUUCUCAUCACAUUUAUAGUCUCGUCUCUGUGGCUUCAAGGUCAAUGCCAGGAUGUGAACCAAUACCCUGAAAUCAGCUGGAGUAAUGUGUUCAAAUCUGCAGAGAUGAACUGUAGCCACAAUAAAGACGCUGGUCAUAACCAGAUGUAUUGGUACAAGCAGCGUCCAGGGGAGAUCAUGACCCUCAUUGUCUACAUGGUUUUUGAUGGGCAGCCAGACUAUGGGAUGGCCCCUCAAAACAAAUAUGUAGGCAUCAAAGAUGACAUAAAGACCGGGGCUCUCACUGUCAAUGACUUGAAGCUGAAAGACAGCGGUGUGUAUUUUUGUGCCAUCAGCAAACACAGUGAUGUGAGAAGUAUGAGCAGCUGAACAAAAACUGCUUCACAAUAAAUGUGCUGAUUUUUUUAAAAUCCUGACUUUUAUAUCUGUCCUGUAGGUGGAGCUGGAGCUCCAGAAAUACUCAACACAUGUAACACUGUGAAACUUAUGAAGCUGCUUUUGAGGGGAAGGUGUUAGGUGUCUUUAGUAACUGUUGUAUAACUAAAGAGCUUAGAGUCACUCAGUGUUCACUGUUCAUUCAGAAAACAAGUCAACAUGCUCACAUUAUUCUUUUUUUUUUGGCUCCUUGGUAAUCACUUUUACAAUUCAGGAAUACCUCUUCACCUAUAGUUUCUACAUUGUUCACUCAUGUUUUCUUUCUCUAGGUGUUUGUCUGGCUGUUGAAGUCUACCAGAGUCCUUCAGCUCUACUCAGAAAACCUGGAGACAAAGUCCAGCUGGUCUGCAGUCAUGAAAAAACUGACUACAGACUCAUGCAGUGGUACCAGAAAUCCCCUGGAGACCGAGCUCUGAAAAGCAUCGGACAUGUGUAUCAAAAGAGCAUAGAGCACGAGGAGCCUUUCAGAGAACAUUUUAAUAUCACUGGAGACAUGAGUGGAGACACAGCAAAGAACAGUUCUCUGUUUAUAACCAACCUAAAGACACCUGAGCACACUGCAGUGUACUACUGUGCAGCUAGCUAUGCACACUGACUACAGAUCCUCUCUGCUUCAUACAAAAACUCUGAAACAACUUUUAUCAACUAUUAUGCUUUUGAAUGGGAACUUGAACAGACUCCUCCCAGCCAGCUGCGUUUCCUUUCAGGCUUUCAUCUUUGCCAGCUAAUGUACAGUGAUGGCGUUUCAUCACUUCCUUCUCCUUUUCAAACUUCAGUCAGCCCCAUUAAGUCACGAGUUGGAUUUCUGUUGCAAAUGGUGACAGUGAUAUCUGAUGUCAGAUCCCAGAAACUUGAAUCCAUAAAACUCUAAAAGGCAUUUAAAAAUGUUUUUUGUUGAGGAUGUCAAAAUGAUCUGCUUUCUAGUCUUCUGUUGUCUGGCAGGUAAUAACUUGAAGCAUUACUUUCUUUGCAUAUGUCAUUAGUGUAAUUUAUCAUAAAUCACAAUGUAAAUAAGUUCUCUAUUUUUGUUUUGUGUCCAGGUGGUUGUCUGGGUGUUCAGGUCCAUCAGUCUCCCUCGGAUCUCAUCACAAAAAUUGCUGACAAAGUGCAGAUUUUCUGCAGUCAUGAUAAAACUGACUACAGAAUGAUGCUCUGGUACCAGCGGUCACCUGGAGACACAGCUAUGAAACUCAUUGGAUAUUUGUACUUAAAAGAUGUAAUGAUGGAAGAGACAUAUAAAGAACAGUUCAAUAUAACUGGAGAUUUGAGUGGAAAUACAGCAAAGAAUGGCUCUCUUUUAGUUCCCACACCUGGACAACAGCACAGUUCAGUGUACUACUGUGCAGCCAGAGAAGCACGCUGACAUAAAUCCCCUCUGAACUUUACAAAAACUCCACAUAGUAUUUUAUCAUUGGUGGUUUGGAGUAAGAUGAGAAAUAAACUGCUCCCAGACACCUGCUGUUGAGGUUGUAAUUUGAUUUGAUGUAAUCAUAUCAUUACAGUAACUAAUGCAGCUGUGUUUCUAUUUUGUUAGUUUCUUCCCAUUUUACCAGGCAAGCCAUCGCAGAACAGUUUCUAAUACAUAAUGAAAAGGAAAACAUUUUUGUGGGGGAAUCAGUUGAAAGGAAGAUAUAUAUAGAUAUCAGUUCGAUAUGGAACUUAAUUAAACCACUCCUCCUUUCUACAUCACAUUUGUUUACUCUUUAAAUGUGACACUAACACCAAAGACUCAUAACUUUUUCAUCCACGACCUUCGAGUAACUCCAUGAUGAUUAGAUUUUUCUUCUGCUAUUUACUCACAGGUAACAACUGCUUCAUUGUGAAAUGAGACACUGUAUUUACUUUCACAUCCUAAAUCAAUAAUCUGUCCAACUCUGCUUACAGCAGGUUUUCUGUUGGAUUUCAGAUCCAUCAGUCUUCCUCUGCUCUCAACAGAGAGGCUGGUGAUGAUGUGCAGCUUGUCUGCACCCAUGAACAAACUGACUACACAGUGAUGCUGUGGUACCAGCAACCAUCUGAAGAAAAGGCUCUCAAACUCAUUGGAUAUG